rnacentral:rRNA from 1 species
UACGUAGGUGGCAAGCGUUGUCCGGAUUUACUGGGCGUAAAGAGCGCGCAGGCGGUCGGAUAAGUCGAAUGUGAAAGCCCCCGGCUCAACUGGGGAGGGUCAUUCGAUACUGUUCGACUCGAAGGCAGGAGAGGGAAGUGGAAUUCCCGGUGUAGUGGUGAAAUGCGUAGAUAUCGGGAGGAACACCAGUGGCGAAGGCGACUUCCUGGCCUGUUCUUGACGCUGGGGCGCGAAAGCUAGGGGAGCAAACGGG